rnacentral:ncRNA from 1 species
UUUUUUAUUAUAUAAAUUUGAUUCUGGUUUAUUGAAAUGGUUAUUUUGAUAAUUUGUAACAUGUAAAUUUUUGUGUGUUAAAAAAUAUUAUUUUAAUAAUAAUAUAUUUAUUAUUGAUUCGCAGUUUUUAUUUUUAUUAAUUUAAUAAUUUAAGAUAUAGUUAAUUAUUUUAUGACUAGCAAAAUUUGUGCCAGCAGCUGCGGUUAUACAUUUAGUUAAAAUCAUUUUUAUUAAGUAUCUAUUAUUAUGUUGACAUGGAAUUAUUUAUUUUUAGGUGAAAUUUGAAUUUAUAUGUUUAUAUGUUUGGUUUAUAGUUCAUUUUAGGAAAUUUUUUAUUUAAACUAGGAUUAGAUACCCUAUUAUUAAAAAUGUAAAAGUUUAUUUUCAGUAUUAUAAGUUAUGGCCUUUAAAUUGAAAGGAUUUGACGGUAAUUUAAUCAUUUUAGAGGAACCUGUUCUGUAAUUGAUGAUCCACGAUGAAUUUUACCUUUAUUAAUAUUGUUUGUAUAUCUCUGUUUGAUUGAGUGUUUUAUGAGAAUUUAUUCUCAUUUAAUUUUAUUGAAUUUGAUGUCAGGUCAAGGUGCAGCUAUAUAAAGGAUUGAAAUGGGUUACAUUAUAUUUUAUAUGUAUGGAUUAAUUUAUUUUAUUAUUAUUAUGAAAUUGGAUUUAAUUGUAAUAGUCAAUAUAUUUUGAUUAUGAUAUAUGUUCUUGAUUAAGUACAUAUCGCCCGUCACUCUCAUUAUAUGAUGAGAUAAGUCGUAACAAAGUAGUUUUAUCGGAAGAUGGGGCUGGAAUUUUA